rnacentral:tRNA from 1 species
UGCCGCAGUGGCGGAAUUGGCAGACGCGCAGCGUUCAGGUCGCUGUAUAGGAAACUAUGUGCAAGUUCGAAUCUUGUCUGCGGCAU